GCUUGUGGCAGUCAAGCGUUCAUAGCGACGUUGCUUCUUGAUCCUUCGAUGUUGGCUCUUUCAAUCCUUCUGAAGCAGAAUUCAGUAAGCGUUGGAUUGUUCACCAAAGACAACACCUAUGGACAACAUCAAGGGACAACAU
rnacentral:ncRNA from 1 species